rnacentral:rRNA from 1 species
UCGAGGGAACCCUGCCUUUCAGAGGGGGACAACAGGUUGGAAACGACUGCUAAUACCGCAUGACACAUCGGGGUCGCAUGGCAGACAUAUCAAAGAUUUAUCGCUUGAAGAUGGACUCGCGUCCGAUUAGUUAAGUUUGGGUGAGGUUAAAAGGGCCCACCAAGACCGCGAUCGGUAGCCGGACUGAGAGGUUGAACGGCCACAUUGGGACUGAGACACGGCCCAGACUCCUACGGGAGGUCAGCAGUGGGGGAUAUUGCGCAAUGGGGGCAACCCUGACGCAGCAACGCCGCGUGAAGGAUGAAGGUUUUCGGAUUGUAACUUCUUUUAUUAAGGACGAAUAAUGACGGUACUUAAUGAAUAAGCUCCGGCUAACUACGUG